AUGGGAACUUGGAGACAUGAAACAGUAGGAGAAAAAACACAAGGUCAAUGUGGAAGCAAGAUCAGCAAACAAGCACUGGGGGAUACAGAGCAGCCAGGAGAACAACCGCAUGGCCUGAGAGCUCCUGACUGUCACCAGGGGUUCGCUGAGAUGGAACCGAGGCUGACGCCAUGGAAGGAAGUCGGGCUGCUCUGUUGCAGAGACCACAGGGAGAGAGGAAGACGCUGGCCUGCUGGCCUGCUCUUCCAGCCAUCCCAGCAGAAGCACCAGUUUAGCGUAAAUGUGUCCUACAAAGGCCAACUUGCGUGACAUGACUUCCAGUUUAGAUUCGAGUGACAGUGACCAUCUGUGGCCUCACCUAGGAAACGCCAGGCCCUCACCUGAGGUGAGUGGACUUCACUUCUUACUGAAGCUUUGCAUGGAAACUGCUUCUAAUCAUGUGUUCAGCCUGCGGUUGUGUGUGUGAAAUAAAAGCCCUGCUAUAAAAAACUUCCAUGGGCAGACUAACAAUGAUUUUAUUUCUUUAAGUUUGAAAGAACUGAGCCAAUGGCAGGAGAGAAUCAUUCCCACUUUGGAAAUUUAAUUCAUACCACAAGGAAAGUCAGCUGCUUUUUGGAAAUCUCAGGUAACAUCCAGAAAUUUCGUACAUGGUUUGAUCAUAGACAGACACCAAGUGGAAAUGCAAUACCAAGGCUUGGAAGACACAAGCCUCCACUGGUAACUUUGUCCCUCUGUCCCCACAGCCACCAGCCUAGGAAAUCCCUCCUCACUGACUCUAAAAACCAAGAGAAAGCACACAUGAUUUUAAGACUUCCCUUUGAAUUUGCAAAUUUUUAUUUGACAAAGAUUUAGAAUCAUCCUUUUUAAUCUGAAUGUUUUAUCAUGACAAAUAUAGGCUUAGAAAAAAUGAUAGAUCAAGAAAUGGGUAGAGAUGAAAAAGAUAACCUAGGAGUUCCCUGGCGGCUCAGUAGGUUAAGGAUCUGGU
rnacentral:lncRNA from 1 species